UACAGAGGGGGCAAGCGUUAUUCGGAAUUAUUGGGCGUAAAGGGCGCGUAGGCGGCUUGGCAAGUGGAAGGUGAAAUCCCUCGGCUUAACCGAGGGACUGCCCUCCAAACUGCUUCGCUUGAGACCGGGAGAGGUGAGUGGAAUUCCCAGUGUAGCGGUGAAAUGCGUAGAUAUUGGGAGGAACACCAGUGGCGAAGGCGGCUCACUGGACCGGUACUGACGCUGAUGCGCGAAAGCGUGGGGAGCAAACGGG
rnacentral:rRNA from 1 species